rnacentral:rRNA from 1 species
AGUCGAACGAAUCUUAGGAACUUCGGUUCCUUGGGUUAGUGGCGAACGGGUGAGUAACACGUGGAUAACCUGCCCUAGACAGGGGGAUAACGGUGAGAAAUCAUCGCUAAUACCGCAUAAUCUGACGGUACCGCAUGGUAUUGUCGGCAAAGGAGAAAUCCGGUAUAGGAGGGAUCCGCGGCUGAUUAGCCAGUUGGCAGGGUAACGGCCUACCAAAGCGACGAUCAGUAGCCGGUCUGAGAGGACGAACGGCCACAUUGGGACUGAGACACGGCCCAAACUCCUACGGGAGGCAGCAGUGGGGAAUAUUGCACAAUGGGGGAAACCCUGAUGCAGCGACGCCGCGUGAAGGAAGACGGCCUUCGGGUUGUAAACUUCUAUCGACAGGGACGAAGCAAGUGACGGUACCUGAGUAAGAAGCCCCGGCUAACUACGUGCCAGCAGCCGCGGUAAUACGUAGGGGGCAAGCGUUAUCCGGAAUUACUGGGCGUAAAGGGUGAGUAGGCGGCGGUACAAGUCACAUGUGGAAGGCCAGAGCUUAACUGUGGCAUUGCAUGAGAAACUGUACGGCUUGAGUGCGGGAGAGGUAAGCGGAAUUCCUAGUGUAGCGGUGAAAUGCGUAGAUAUUAGGAAGAACACCAGUGGCGAAGGCGGCUUACUGGACCGCAACUGACGCUGAUUCACGAAAGCGUGGGGAGCAAACAGGAUUAGAUACCCUGGUAGUCCACGCUGUAAACGAUGAGCGCUAGGUGUCGGGGGGAGACCUUCGGUGCCGGAGCAAACGCAAUAAGCGCUCCGCCUGGGGAGUACGUACGCAAGUAUGAAACUCAAAGGAAUUGACGGGGGCCCGCACAAGCGGUGGAGCAUGUGGUUUAACUCGAUGCAACGCGAAGAACCUUACCAAGAUUUGACAUAGAGACGACGGGGUUAGAGAUAACCCGUCCCUUCGGGGCGUCUCAUACAGGUGGUGCAUGGUUGUCGUCAGCUCGUGUCGUGAGAUGUUGGGUUAAGUCCCGCAACGAGCGCAACCCCUAUCUUUAGUAGCCAGCGGGCAAGCCGGGCACUCUAGAGAGACUGCCGUGGAUAACACGGAGGAAGGCGGGGAUGAGGUCAAAUCAUCAUGCCCUUUAUGUCUUGGGCAACACACGUGCUACAAUGGCUGCAACAAAGUGAAGCAAGCAGGCGACUGCAAGCAAAACACAAAAAAGCAGUCUCAGUUCGGAUUGCAGUCUGCAACUCGACUGCAUGAAGCUGGAAUCGCUAGUAAUCGCGGAUCAGCAUGUCGCGGUGAAUACGUUCCCGGGCCUUGUACACACCGCCCGUCACACCAUGGGAGUCGGAAGCGCCCGAAAACGGUGGCCGAAC